CUAUCAUCGAGAGUGGCGGAGGGACAGGCCCUGCGAAGCCACAGCAACCGAUCCGUCGAAGCCGACAGGCAAAGGGGGAUGUCAGGUGCUAAUUCCUGCUCGUCGGAAAACGAUCUUCGGCGGGAAAGAUGAGGA
rnacentral:ncRNA from 2 species